rnacentral:rRNA from 1 species
GAUGAACGCUAGCUACAGGCUUAACACAUGCAAGUCGAGGGACCGGCGACCGGGUGAGUAACACGUAUCCAACCUGCCCUGUUCUCGGGGCUAGCCUUUCGAAAGAAAGAUUAAUACCCGUUAUAAAGGAUGGGGAUGCGUUCCUUUAGGCUGUUGGUGAGGUAACGGCCCACCAAGCCUUCGAUGGAUAGGGGUUCUGAGAGGAAGAUCCCCCACAUUGGAACUAAGGCACGGUCCAAAAUCCUACGUGAGACAGCAGUGAGGAAUAUUAUUGAAUGUGCGCUAGCCUGAACCAGCCAAGUAGCGUGAAGGAUGAAGGCUUAUGAAUCGUAAACUUCUUUUAUAUAAGAAUAUGUAUUAUAUGAAUAAGGAACGGCUAACUCCGUGCCAGCAGCCGCGGUAAUAC